UACGAAGGGGGCUAGCGUUGCUCGGAUUGACUGGGCGUAAAGGGCGCGUAGGCGGUUCGUACAGUCAGACGUGAAAUUCCUGGGCUCAACCUGGGGGCUGCGUUUGAUACGUGCGGACUUGAGUGCGGAAGAGGGUCGUGGAAUUCCCAGUGUAGAGGUGAAAUUCGUAGAUAUUGGGAAGAACACCGGUGGCGAAGGCGGCGAUCUGGGCAGAUACUGACGCUGAGGUGCGAAAGCGUGGGGAGCAAACAGG
rnacentral:rRNA from 1 species